GCCAGGCAGGUGGCACACGCCUGUAAUCCCAGCAGCUUGGGAGGCUGAGGCAGGAGGAUCAUGAGUUCAAAGCAAGCCACUAAACAACUCAGUGUGACCCUGUCUCUA
rnacentral:sRNA from 1 species